GUCUAUGGCCAUGUAGCCCUGAACAUGCCGAUCCCCUCUGAUCUUGGAAGCUAAGCGGGGUCAGGCCUGCUUAGUACUUGGAGGAGAGCGGCCACCUCAGAGAGCUGUUCUCUGAAGGCU
rnacentral:rRNA from 1 species